rnacentral:rRNA from 1 species
GGAUGUGCCGCAAGGUGCAUGGCAGACGGGUGAGUAACGCGUAGGGAAUCUACCUUUUAGUGGGGAAUAACGCUCCGAAAGGAGUGGUAAUACCGCAUGAGACCGGUGGCUGGGAUGCUGCCGGUGAAACCUGGGGACCGCAAGGCCUGGGGCUAGAAGAGGAUCCUGCGUCUGAUUAGCUAGUUGGCGGGGUAAUGGCCCACCAAGGCGACGAUCAGUAGCCGGCCUGAGAGGGUGAUCGGCCACACUGGAACUGAGACACGGUCCAGACUCCUACGGGAGGCAGCAGUGGGGAAUUUUGCGCAAUGGACGAAAGUCUGACGCAGCAACGCCGCGUGGGUGAUGAAGGUCUUCGGACUGUAAAACCCUGUCGUCAGGGAACGAAGGUUGGGGGGUUAAUAACCCUUCAGCUUGACGGUACCUGAGAGAGGAAGCCCCGGCUAACUCUGUGCCAGCAGCCGCGGUAAUACAGAGGGGGCAAGCGUUAUUCGGAAUUAUUGGGCGUAAAGGGCGCGUAGGCGGUUUUUUAAGUCAGAUGUGUAAUCCCCGAGCUCAACUUGGGAACUGCAUCUGAGACUGGAAGGCUAGAGUACUGGAGAGGGUGGUGGAAUUCCUCGUGUAGCGGUGAAAUGCGUAGAGAUGAGGAGGAACACCAGUGGCGAAGGCGGCCACCUGGACAGUAACUGACGCUGAGGCGCGAAAGUGUGGGUAGCAAACA